CGUCGACUACGCGUUGGAAUUACACAAGACGCAUAGGCUGCGCUAGUUACCAAGCCUUUCUAACGCAUCUUCUCUAGCCGCGUCGUGAAUCGUAAACUCUUUAAUGUAGCACACUCGUGCAUGCGCCUGUCCUCUUGUUUGCAGGUAUUAAGUGGCCUAGUGGCAGUUAUGGUCUCCCCAAACCUAAAUCAGGAUGUCCAAGUGGUAAGAACAAUGACUGGGUUGAAGGCUGGAGAUUUCAGGAUAUGGAAGAUGACGCCGAUAAGAGCACAAGUGAGCGAUCAAAAGUAUCCAGUGGGUCGCAUAUGGACGUGACAUUAGUUGGUAAUAAAAAAGAUGUGAACAGAACAUUCUGUAUGAAGCAAAACACUAGAACACAAACGAAGUAUUGGCCAAAAGGUAAGUUUCUUCAGUUUAACUGUAAGUGUAUACAUCUGCUGAUUACACCUAAUUAUUAAUACAUGUCGGUCUAGAAGUUGCGUGUUCGCCAAGUAUGACGUACCAAUUAACAUUUACAUAACUGCAUGUCGCGGGUCGCGUAUCUCGGGUAAAAAGUCGUCGGUUGGAACAGUCUUAAAAAUUUAUUUAAUAUAUAUUAUUAUUUUUUAUUUGUGCA